rnacentral:rRNA from 1 species
GACGUAGGGCGCGAGCGUUGUCCGGAUUUAUUGGGCGUAAAGAGCUUGUAGGUGGUUUGUCGCGUUGUUCGUGAAAUCUCACGGCUCAACUGUGAGCGUGCGGGCGAUACGGGCAGACUAGAGUACUGCAGGGGAGACUGGAAUUCCUGGUGUAGCGGUGGAAUGCGCAGAUAUCAGGAGGAACACCGGUGGCGAAGGCGGGUCUCUGGGCAGUAACUGACGCUGAGAAGCGAAAGCGUGGGGAGCGAACAGG